CCUACGGGUGGCAGCAGUGAGGAAUAUUGGUCAAUGGGCGGAAGCCUGAACCAGCCAAGUCGCGUGAGGGAUUAAGGCCCUGCGGGUCGUAAACCUCUUUUGCCGGGGAGCAGUGGUCCGGACGCGUCCGGACCGGGAGAGUACCCGGAGAAAAAGCAUCGGCUAACUCCGUGCCAGCAGCCGCGGUAAUACGGAGGAUGCGAGCGUUGUCCGGAAUUACUGGGUGUAAAGGGAGCGUAGGCGGGAAAGCAAGUUGAAUGUUUAAGGUACGGGCUCAACCUGUACAAGCGUUCAAAACUGUUUUUCUUGAGUGGAGUAGAGGUAAGCGGAAUUCCUAGUGUAGCGGUGAAAUGCGUAAAUAUUAGGAGGAACACCAGUGGCGAAGGCGGCUUACUGGGCUUUAACUGACGCUGAGGCUCGAAAGCGUGGGUAGCAAACAGGAUUAGAUACCCUGGUAGUC
rnacentral:rRNA from 1 species